rnacentral:rRNA from 1 species
GAUGAACGCUGGCGGCGUGCUUAACACAUGCAAGUCGAACGGGAUCCAUCAGGCUUUGCUUGGUGGUGGGAGUGGCGAACGGGUGAGUAAUGCGUGACCGACCUGCCCCAUACACCGGAAUAGCUCCUGGAAACGGGUGGUAAUGCCGGAUGCUCCGACUCCUCGCAUGGGUGUCGGGAAAGAUUUCAUCGGUAUGGGAUGGGGUCGCGGCCUAUCAGGUAGUCGGCGGGGUAACGGCCCACCGAGCCUACGACGGGUAGCCGGCCUGAGAGGGCGACCGGCCACAUUGGGACUGAGAUACGGCCCAGACUCCUACGGGGGACAGCAGUGGGGAAUAUUGCACAAUGGGCGCAAGCCUGAUGCAGCGACGCCGCGUGCGGGAUGACGGCCUUCGGGUUGUAAACCGCUUUUGAUCGGGAGCAAGCCUUCGGGUGAGUGUACCUUUCGAAUAAGCACCGGCUAACUACGUGCCAGCAGCCGCCGUAA